rnacentral:tRNA from 6 species
CGCGGGGUGGAGCAGUGGUAGCUCGUCGGGCUCAUAACCCGAAGGUCGCAGGUUCAAAUCCUGUCCCCGCAA